UGCCAGCCGCCGCGGUAAUACGGAGGGUACAAACGUUGUUCGGAAUUACUGGGCAUAAAGCGCACGUAGGCGACCUGAUAAGUCUGUUGUGAAAGCCCUCGGCUCAACCGGGGAACUGCAAUUGAUACUGUCAGGCUCGAGGGUGGUUGGGGUGAGUGGAACUUCUGGUGGAGCGGUGAAAUGCGUAGAUAUCAGAAGGAACACCAGUGGCGAAAGUGGCUCACUGGACCACAUCUGACGCUGAGGUGCGAAAGCUAGGGUAGCGAACGGGAUUAGAUA
rnacentral:rRNA from 1 species